AACCUCAAAGAGGGAAAACCAUGCCGUUAAAUGUUGAACCCCAGUGGUCAACAACACAAAUCUUGCCAGCUGCUUUAAAGAAGCAGCAAGAUUUUAAUCAGAACGCAAUGGUAGAUGGAGAAUAUGUGCUUCUCUAUCCUGAUGGAUCUCAGGUAGAAAAUAUACCUGGUACAGACAGACCUUUUGUUCUGGAGAAUUAUAAAGAGGCCAUUGGGAAAUCCUACCAAAGGAUUACGCUGUACAUCUGCCUUCUUCAGGAUUUGAGUUAUGGAGAUGACUCAUCUUCAGAAUCCGAUGAUUGUGAAGCAUUUGGUCGGCUUCCAAUGAAAAUUUAAGUUUAUCCUGCUAUUUUGAGACAUGUGCUAGCGAUUUUUGAAUAUCCAUGUAUUUCACAGCAUUCAUUUUUGAAAUUGCUCUAAGGAAUAGAUCAAGCAUGUUGUCCUCUGUAUAACAUAUGGACAAUUACUUAUAUUCUGAUUUAAAUUAAGUGAUUCAAAUUAUUUGUGUGUUUUAUGUCACCAAAACAAUCUCUGCCAACAACAUCCAGGGCAUCUGGUGGGCAAGCCAAUGGAGCAGGAGCAGGACCCAAAAAGACCACAUCACCAAACACAUCAUGUGAAUUCUACAAUACAUAUACAAAUGUAUAUGCACCAGUUGUCAUUGACAGCAGUUCCUCAGAUGUUGAGGAAGUCGACUAAUCUCAGGUGG